rnacentral:tRNA from 1 species
GAACCGGUGGUGUAGUGGUAACGCGUUGUUGUCCGAAUGCGAAGAGGAAUGGUUCGAUUCCCUCCCGGUCCA